UACGUAGGGUCCGAGCGUUGUCCGGAAUUAUUGGGCGUAAAGGGCUCGUAGGCGGUUUGUCGCGUCGGGAGUGAAAACACGGGGCUUAACCCCGUGCCUGCUUCCGAUACGGGCAGACUAGAGGUAUGCAGGGGAGAACGGAAUUCCUGGUGUAGCGGUGAAAUGCGCAGAUAUCAGGAGGAACACCGGUGGCGAAGGCGGUUCUCUGGGCAUUACCUGACGCUGAGGCGCGAAAGCGUGGGGAGCAAACAGG
rnacentral:rRNA from 1 species